AACGAACGCUGGCGGCAUGCCUAACACAUGCAAGUCGAACGAGACCUUCGGGUCUAGUGGCGCACGGGUGCGUAACGCGUGGGAACCUGCCCUUAGGUUCGGAAUAACUCCCCGAAAGGGGUGCUAAUACCGGAUAAUGUCUUCGGACCAAAGAUUUAUCGCCUUUGGAUGGGCCCGCGUUGGAUUAGCUAGUUGGUAGGGUAAAAGCCUACCAAGGCGACGAUCCAUAGCUGGUCUGAGAGGAUGAUCAGCCACACUGGGACUGAGACACGGCCCAGACUCCUACGAGAGGCAGCAGUGGGGAAUAUUAGACAAUGGGCGAGAGCCUGAUCCAGCAAUGCCGCGUGAGUGAUGAAGGCCUUAGGGUUGUAAAGCUCUUUUGCCCGGGAUGAUAAUGACAGUACCGGGAGAAUAAGCUCCGGCUAACUCCGUG
rnacentral:rRNA from 1 species